UACGUAGGGUGCGAGCGUUAAUCGGAAUUACUGGGCGUAAAGGGUGCGCAGGCGGUUAUAUAAGACAGAUGUGAAAUCCCCGGGCUCAACCUGGGAACUGCGUUUGUGACUGUAUGACUAGAGUACGGUAGAGAGGGGUGGAAUUCCUGGUGUAGCAGUGAAAUGCGUAGAUAUCAGGAGGAACACCGAUGGCGAAGGCAGGUCUCUGGGCCGUAACUGACGCUGAGGAGCGAAAGCAUGGGGAGCGAACAGG
rnacentral:rRNA from 1 species